UACGGAGGGUGCGAGCGUUGUCCGGAAUCAUUGGGCGUAAAGAGCUCGUAGGCGGUUUGUUGCGUCGGCUGUGAAAUCCCGAGGCUCAACCUCGGGUCUGCAGUCGAUACGAGCAAACUAGAGUGUUGCAGGGGAGACUGGAAUUCCUGGUGUAGCGGUGAAAUGCGCAGAUAUCAGGAGGAACACCGGUGGCGAAGGCGGGACUCUGGGCCGAUACUGACGCUGAGGAGCGAAAGCGUGGGGGAGC
rnacentral:rRNA from 1 species